rnacentral:rRNA from 1 species
ACGAACGCUGGCGGCGUGCCUAAUACAUGCAAGUUGAGCGCUGAAGGUUGGUACUUGUACCAACUGGAUGAGCAGCGAACGGGUGAGUAACGCGUGGGGAAUCUGCCUUUGAGCGGGGGACAACAUUUGGAAACGAAUGCUAAUACCGCAUAAAAACUUUAAACACAAGUUUUAAGUUUGAAAGAUGCAAUUGCAUCACUCAAAGAUGAUCCCGCGUUGUAUUAGCUAGUUGGUGAGGUAAAGGCUCACCAAGGCGAUGAUACAUAGCCGACCUGAGAGGGUGAUCGGCCAACUUGGGACUGAGACACGGCCCAAACUCCUACGGGAGGCAGCAGUAGGGAAUCUUCGGCAAUGGACGAAAGUCUGACCGAGCAACGCCGCGUGAGUGAAGAAGGUUUUCGGAUCGUAAAACUCUGUUGGUAGAGAAGAACGUUGGUGAGAGUGGAAAGCUCAUCAAGUGACGGUAACUACCCAGAAAGGGACGGCUAACUACGUG